rnacentral:rRNA from 1 species
CGUGGUAACGAGGUAGCAAUACCUAGUGGCGGACGGGUGAGUAACGCGUGGGAAUCUGCCUUAAGAUGGGGGAUAACGAGCCGAAAGGCUCGCUAAUACCGCAUAUGCCGAAAGGUGAAAGGAGUAAUCCGUCUUAAGAUGAGCCCGCGUCCGAUUAGCUAGUUGGUAGGGUAAAGGCCUACCAAGGCGACGAUCGGUAGCUGGUCUGAGAGGAUGAUCAGCCACAAUGGGACUGAGACACGGCCCAUACUCCUACGGGAGGCAGCAGUGGGGAAUUUUACGCAAUGGGGGAAACCCUGACGUAGCGACACCGCGUGAGCGAAGAAGCCCCUUGGGGUGUAAAGCUCUGUCAGCUGGAACGAAAAAAAUGACGGUACCAGCAGAGGAAGCAUCGGCUAACUACGUGCCAGCAGCCGCGGUAAGACGUAGGAUGCGAGCGUUGUCCGGAUUUAUUGGGCGUAAAGAGUUCGUAGGUGGUUUGUCAAGUCUGAUGUUAAAGAUCGGGGCUCAACCCUGGGACUGCAUUGGAUACUGGCAGACUUGAGUGUGGUAGAGGCUAGUGGAAUUCCCAGUGUAGCGGUGAAAUGCGUAGAUAUUGGGAAGAACACCGGUGGCGUAGGCGACUAGCUGGGCCAUAACUGACACUGAGGAACGAAAGCCAGGGUAGCGAAUGGGAUUAGAUACCCCAGUAGUCCUGGCCGUAAACGAUGGAUACUAGGCGUAUCGGGUAUCGACCCCUGAUGUGCCGCAGCUAACGCGAUAAGUAUCCCGCCUGAGUAGUACGGCCGCAAGGUUGAAACUCAAAGGAAUUGACGGGGGCCCGCACAAGCGGUGGAACAUGUGGAUUAAUUCGAUGCAACGCGAAGAACCUUACCUGACCUUGACAUGUCCGGAAUCCUGCAGAGAUGCG